UUUCUGUGGGGGCGGAGCGGCCGGCCGCAACUCGCGGUUCGAGCUAGCGCUUCCCCUACAUCCUGCCGCGAACCGUGCUACCAUUAAUUUGGUGGCGCCGGGGAUCGGCUCGUUUACUUUGAGAAAAAUAGAGUGUUCAAAGCAGGCCACACGCCUUGAAUAAGUUAGCAUGGAAUAAUAAUAAAGGACUUCGGUUCUAUUUUGUUGGUGUUCGGGACUGAAGUAAUGAUUGAUAGGGACAGUUGGGGCGGUCAGUAUUCCAAAGCGAGAGGUGAAAUUCUUAGACCUUCGGAAGACUAACAGCUGCGAAAGCGUUCCGCAAGGAUGUUCCCUUUGAUCAAGAACGAAAGUUGGGGGAUCGAAGACGAUCAGAUACCGUCGUAGUCUCAACUAUAAACUAUACCAGCUAGGGAUCGGUCAACGUUAAAUUAUCCGACUCGAUCGGCACCUUAUGAGAAAUCAAAGCAUCUGGGUUCCGGGGGGAGUAUGGUCGCAAGGCUGAAACUUAAAGGAAUUGACGGAAGGGCACCACCAGCCGUGGAGCCUGUGGCUUAAUUUGACUCAACACGGGAAAACUUACCAGGUCCAGACAUAGUAAGGAUUGACAGAUUGAUAGCUCUUUCUUGAUUCUGUGGGUGGUGGUGCAUGGCCGUUCUUAGUUGGUGGAGUGAUUUGUCUGGUUAAUUCCGUUAACGAACGAGACCCCAGCCUGCUAAAUAGCGCGGCUGAGCUUUGCUCGGUGCGAGCUUCUUAGAGGGACUAUGAUGCGCGAUAGCACAUGGAAGUUUGGGGCAAUAACAGGUCUGUGAUGCCCUUAGAUGUUCUGGGCCGCACACGGGCUACACUGGCGCCUGCAACGAGCAUAUCAGCUGGCCCGAGAGGGUCUUGGCUAAUCUUAUGAACCGGCGCCGUGCUUGGGAUUGACCAUUGCAA
rnacentral:rRNA from 1 species